rnacentral:tmRNA from 1 species
GGGGGCGUCACGGCUUCGACGGAGAUGCUUGCGGCCAAGAGGCAUGCCGGGGUGCACACACCCGUAAUCGCGUGCACAAUGAUAAUUGCCAAUCAAGAAAUGGCAUACGCUGCUUAAUUGAUUUAAGUAGCCGUCCGAGGAGGUUUCGCCCGUGGGCCUCCGAAGGGCGUCGCACAGCGGGCUGGUUGUGAAGGCUACGUCUGGGCUUUCGCGACGAGAUCUUCAGGCUAGCGGAUCGCGUUUCUUGUCCGUUCUGAGCGCGCGCCGCGAACGUCCUGGGGUUAAGCGGAAACGCUUGAUGCCGAGGGCCGCGAACGUGACUACGCAUGUAGUCUCUUGACCAGUAACAUUUUCGGACGCGGGUUCAACUCCCGCCGCCUCCACCA